rnacentral:rRNA from 1 species
AAGACCUUACGCUUUUGGAGCGGCCGAUGUCUGAUUAGCUUGUUGGUGAGGUAAAGGCUUACCAAGGCUUCGAUCAGUAGCUGGUCUGAGAGGACGACCAGCCACACUGGGACUGAGACACGGCCCAGACUCCUACGGGAGGCAGCAGUGGGGAAUUUUGGACAAUGGAGGAAACCCUGAUCCAGCCAUGCCGCGUGAGUGAAGAAGGCCUUCGGGUUGUAAAGCUCUUUCAGCCGGAACGAAACGGUUACGAUUAAUACCUGUAACUACUGACGGUACCGGAAGAAGAAGCACCGGCUAACUACGUGCCAGCAGCCGCGGUAAUACGUAGGGUGCGAGCGUUAAUCGGAAUUACUGGGCGUAAAGCGUGCGCAGGUGGUUUUGUAAGUCAGAUGUGAAAUCCCCGGGCUUAACCUGGGAACU